CGGGGCGUGGCGCAGUCUGGUAGCGCGCCUGCUUUGGGAGCAGGAAGUCGGGGGUUCAAAUCCCUCCGCCCCGACCA
rnacentral:tRNA from 2 species